rnacentral:rRNA from 1 species
GAUGAACGCUGGCGGCGUGCCUAAUACAUGCAAGUCGAGCGAACAGACGAGGAGCUUGCUCCUCUGACGUUAGCGGCGGACGGGUGAGUAACACGUGGAUAACCUACCUAUAAGACUGGGAUAACUUCGGGAAACCGGAGCUAAUACCGGAUAAUAUAUUGAACCGCAUGGUUCAAUAGUGAAAGACGGUUUUGCUGUCACUUAUAGAUGGAUCCGCGCCGCAUUAGCUAGUUGGUAAGGUAACGGCUUACCAAGGCAACGAUGCGUAGCCGACCUGAGAGGGUGAUCGGACACACUGGAACUGAGACACGGGCCAGACUCCUACGGGAGGCAGCAGUAGGGAAUCUUCCGCAAUGGGCGAAAGCCUGACGGAGCAACGCCGCGUGAGUGAUGAAGGUCUUCGGAUCGUAAAACUCUGUUAUUAGGGAAGAACAAAUGUGUAAGUAACUAUGCACGUCUUGACGGUACCUAAUCAGAAAGCCACGGCUAACUACGU